rnacentral:lncRNA from 1 species
AAAACAUGAGCUAACUAUUUUAAAUAUUAUUCUUUUGAUCCAAAUAUAUUCGUUGAAUUUUGAAAAUUUUCGAUGAGAAUGGAAACGCAGAUGGAGGAGGGUUCCCAUUAGAGAAGCAGGAUAAGCGGCCCCGAAAACGACUUCGUUCAACAUGGGACAUGUCUCCUGUCCCUCCUCCUGAUCAUUCCAAGCCCCAAGGUCUUAUUUUAUAUAGGAAUUUUCACAGUUCUCUUGCAUUUACAUAAAAGUGCAAUUUCUAUUAAGUUAGGGCUUUUAAUUGGAUGUUUGAUAUAUUGCACUAUUAACUUGUUAGUGAAAUUUGUUUACUUGCUAGUUGCUACGUUGGACUUAUUCUGGAUAACAUGUCCCCCUCAUCUGAAUUUCUUUACUUGUUUUCAGUUCAAGGUACUUGGUUCUCAGAUACUUUGUGUCUCUUCUGCUGUUUUCAUUAGGUUUUUUUUU